UACGUAGGGUGCGAGCGUUAAUCGGAAUUACUGGGCGUAAAGCGUGCGCAGGCGGUUUUGUAAGCCAGGUGUGAAAUCCCCAGGCUCAACCUGGGAAUGGCAUUUGGGACUGCAAGGCUGGAGUGCGGCAGAGGAGACUGGAAUUCCUGGUGUAGCAGUGAAAUGCGUAGAUAUCAGGAGGAACACCGAUGGCGAAGGCAGGUCUCUGGGCUGACACUGACGCUCAUGCACGAAAGCGUGGGGAGCAAACAGG
rnacentral:rRNA from 1 species